UUACCAUUUGAUAACCUAGUUCUCGUUUUGCUUAUAGGAGUCCCUCACCUGAAAGGAUCUUUAGGGAUACUCCACCCGCUACUCCGAGGGGUAAUCUAUUUGUUACUCUUCCUCGGAGGCAUCCUCAUUUUGGAAGCGCUCCUUUUGACACGUCAACUUAGAAUAUUCCUUCCAGAAAGGCUCAUUCCAUCACUCUUUUACCCACUGUACAAUUUCCCUCUCACAUUACUAAAGGUGCUAAUGGGAGUGAGCAUCCGGAUGGUUUGCACAAAUUUGUUUCUGUUCCUUUGGAGGCUCCCAUUCGGAAGGAAGCAAGGCGCAACUCUUUUGAAGUUGCUGGAUUUAGCCUAGCAAUCGUGCCUUACCUUGGUGCUAAUCAAGCCACUAGGACUUCUUACACGCCCCUGGAUGGCUUUCAAUAAGGUAAUCAUUUGGUCUAGUAGAACUUGGUUGGUAUGAGGCAACAAUACCAAUAAUAAAUGGGGACCUUACGGGGGUCCAGAGUGAAAAUGCAUGUUUGAAAGAGAAGAAUGCCCAACUUCGGUUAUGUGCUGAACUAGCAAAAAAAUGACAAGCUUAGUUGCUAGAAGAUAAGAAAAGGCUACGAAGAGCUUUGGUGGACCGAGACAUCGAAGUGAAAGGCCUAAGCCUUCAGUUAAAACAUAUAUGUGUGGCCUAGGAGAAAGACCGAAAAAGAUAGGAGGAUGCUCAAGUAACUGUUCUGAGUUCUGACUAUUAUCGUAGAUCGGGUCAUGCUAGCCAUGCAAGUGGCAUUUGGUCCCAUUUACACUCAUGGAAUGAAUUUUAGGCCUUUUUUCGAUCUGAUUAGGUGUGGCUGUCGGCUUGAUUUUUACAUCAACUACCCAUUUGAAGACAAUUGUCAUUACUUUCGCCAGGAGAUGAGGCAUUUUGUUUUCUUUGGGAAGUCCUCCCGGAGCAACCCUUUUGAAGUGAAACUUGGAGGCAUGCGUCUACUCUGGAUGGUUUGGAAGAAGGAGAGGAAAAUAGGCUUGUAGGUGAGGAGUCAAGUCUUUAAGCUUCCUAGUCGGAGCAUUCACUAUCUGAGGAUAAAGACAAUGCCUCUUUGUAAAUGCUUUUAUAAUUUGUAAUUUUUGAAAAUAUUAAUAAAAUUUUACUUUUGUAA